GAUUAACGCUGGCGGCAUACCUAACACAUGCAAGUCGAAAGGCAGCACGGUCCAGUUUACUGGAUGGGUGGCGAGUGGCGGACGGGUGAGUAACGCGUAGGAAUAUGCCUUAAAGAGGGGGAUAACUUGGGGAAACUCAAGCUAAUACCGCAUAAUCUCUUAGGAGAAAAGCUGGGGACCUUUGGGCCUGGCGCUUUAAGAUUAGCCUGCGUACGAUUAGCUAGUUGGUGGGGUAAGGGCCUACCAAGGCGACGAUCGUUAGCUGGUCUGUGAGGAUGGCCAGCCACACUGUAACUGAGACACGGUCCAGACUACUACGGGAGGCAGCAGUGGGGAAUAUUGGACAAUGGGGCGAACCAGGAUCCAGCAAUGCCGCGUGUGUGAAGAAGGCCUGAGGGUUGUAAAGCACUUUCAGUGAGGAGGAGGAUUGACAGGUUAAGAGCUAGUUAAUUGGACGUUACCCACAGAAGAAGCACCGGCUAACUACGUGCCAGCCGCCGCGGUAA
rnacentral:rRNA from 1 species